rnacentral:rRNA from 1 species
UUUGACCGUGCGAAGGUAGCAUAGUCAGUAGUCUUUUAAUUGGAGGCUUGUAUGAAUGGUUGGACGAGGGACAAGCUGUCUCUUUUACGUGGUUUGAAUUUAACUUUUAAGUGAAAAGGCUUAAAUUAUUUAGUGGGACGAUAAGACCCUAUAAAACUUUAUACAGGUUGGGUUAAAUUUGUGAUUUAGGUGAAAAGUAGUUUUAUUUGACUUGUAUUUUGUUGGGGCGACAUAGAUAUAAUAUGUAACUGUCUAUUAAAUUUAAUAGUGUUAAUUAGUUUUUGAUCCUUCUUUGUGGAUUAAAAGAAUAAGUUACUUUAGGGAUAACAGCGUGAUUUUCCUUGAGAGUUAU